rnacentral:rRNA from 1 species
GAUGUGAAAGGCAUGGGCUCAACCUGUGGACUGCAUUGGAAACUGUCAUACUUGAGUGCCGGAGGGGUGAGCGGAAUUCCUAGUGUAGCGGUGAAAUGCGU